AAAAAAAGUUAAUUAUUAAAAAUUGUAUUUUUGGACUUUUACAAAAGCUAAAUAUCUCGAAAGUUCAGUAUUACUAUUAAUAAAAAUGCCGCGUCCUAGAAGAUCUAAUCUUUCCCGGCGGACCCAUAAUGCAAUUAGGCAACGGAAUAGCGCGAGUCAAUUAUCUGACGAAGAGCGAGAAAUCGCCCGAGAAAGGCUCCGCGUUAGUACCCAGGGAAGAAGGGCCUUAAUUCGUGCUUCUCAAA